CCCCUAGAUGUUCUGGGCCGCACGCGCGCUACACUGAACAGUUCAACAAGUCUUAACCUUGGCCGAUAGGUCUGGGUAAUCUUUGAACGCUGCUCGUGAUUGGGAUAGACCUUUGCAAUUAUGGGUCUUCAACGAGGAAUUCCUAGUAAACGCAAGUCAUCAGCUUGCAUUGAUUACGUCCCUGCCCUUUGUACACACCGCCCGUCGCACCUACCGAUUGAAUGGUCCGGUGAAAUCUCGGGACGGCGGCUUGGUCGCUUGCGUCCGACUGCUGAAACUUGAUUAAACCAUAUCAUUUAGAGGAAGGUGAANUCGUANCA
rnacentral:rRNA from 1 species